UUCCGGUUGAUCCCGCCGGAGGUUACUGCUAUCGAGGUUCGACUAAGCCAUGCGAGUCGAAUGUAGCAAUACAUGGCGAACUGCUCAGUAACACGUGGACAACCUGCCCUUAGGUUGGGUAUAAACCCGGGAAACUGGGUAUAAUACCCGAUAGGUCUCGAUUGCUGGAAUGCAUCGAGAUUUAGAGCUCCGGCGCCUAAGGAUGGGUCUGCGGCCUAUCAGGUAGUAGUGGGUGUAGCGUACCUACUAGCCUACGACGGGUACGGGUUGUGAGAGCAAGAGCCCGGAGAUGGAUUCUGAGACACGAAUCCAGGCCCUACGGGGUGCAGCAGGCGCGAAAACUUUACAAUGCUGGCAACAGCGAUAAGGGAACCUCGAGUGCCAGGUUACAAAUCUGGCUGUCGAGAUGCCUAAAAAGCAUUUCAUAGCAAGGGCCGGGCAAGACCGGUGCCAGCCGCCGCGGUAACACCGGCGGCUCGAGUGGUAACCGUUAUUAUUGGGUCUAAAGGGUCUGUAGCCGGCCGGAUAAGUCUCUUGAGAAAUCUGGCAGCUUAACUGUCAGGCUUUCAGGAGAUACUGUCUGGCUCGAGGCCGGGAGAGGUGAGAGGUACUUCAGGGGUAGGGGGUGAAAUCUUGUAAUCCUUGAAGGACCACCAGUGGCGAAGGCGUCUCACCAGAACGGACCUGACGGCAAGGGACGAAAGCUAGGGGCACGAACCGGAUUAGAUACCCGGGUAGUCCUAGCCGUAAACGAUACUCGCUAGGUGUCGGCCACGGUGCGACCGUUGUCGGUGCCGUAGGGAAGCCGUGAAGCGAGCCACCUGGGAAGUACGGCCGCAAGGCUGAAC
rnacentral:rRNA from 1 species